UAAAACACAGCGGAAAUUUUUUUAAAAACCUGACCCCAGGGUAUGCCAAAUCCGCCACAAAUACAGAAAAUUCACUGUUCACACGGACAGAGUCUCCCCUGUAUUUGCACGGCGUCGCACAAGUACAAGAGUAUAACCAGGAUACAACCACCAUAAUGAAUAAACAACAAUCAAUAUUCAUUCACCAUUCAUCACAGAUUUACCAUUCAUAAUUCCAUGACUAUUAGUUAAAACGUUUCCAACUCAGAAACGGGUUUUGAAAUAUUAAGUUAUGAAAACCACGAGAAAGCUGUUUGAAAUCCGUUUUUCAUAAGGAAACUCUUUUCCUUUAAAACACGCUACCACGAGGGUAGAAAACCUUUCCAUUUCACAAAAUCCACAAAUUCAUUUAUUAUAUUCAUGAAAACCCAUAUUUUCAAAUGUAAUAAAAAUACUGAAUCAUAUAAACUAUCUAAGCUAUAUCAACAGAACAGUAAGGGUAGGAACUAAACCGAAUAACCUGGGUCGGAAGCUCUAUCGACCGCUACGUACGUUCUCACGUCUCGUCUCAACUCUCAUCGCCCGCGAUACCUGAAAAAAAU
rnacentral:lncRNA from 1 species